GAUGAACGCUGACAGCAUGCUUAACACAUGCAAGUCAACUUGUGGCGGACGGGGGAGUAACGCGUAAAGAACUGGCCACACGGAUAGGGACAACCUUAGGAAACGAAUGCUAAUACCUGAAACUGUGAGAGAGCUUUGCGUCCCAUUAGCUAGGUGGAGAGGUAACGGAUCACCAAGGCGAGGAUGGGUAGCCGGCCUGCGAGGGUGAUCGGCCACAAGGGGACUGAGACGCGGCACUUACUCCUACUGGAGGCAGGAGUGGGGAAUAGUGGACAAUGGACCAAAGUCUGAACCAGGAAUUCUGUGUGCACGAUGUAGUUUUCAGGAUGUAAAGUGCGUUCAGUUUGGAAGCGGUACCAACAGAAGAAGUGACGGCUAAAUACGUGCCAGCAGCCGCGGUAAUUC
rnacentral:rRNA from 1 species